ACCUGGGUGGCUCAGUCGGUUGAGCGUCUGACUUCGGCUCAGGUCAUGAUCUCACGGUUUGUGGGUUUGAGCCCCGCGUCAGGCU
rnacentral:tRNA from 1 species